rnacentral:rRNA from 1 species
GACGAACGCUGGCGGCGUGCUUAACACAUGCAAGUCGAACGGAAAGGCCCUGCUUUUGUGGGGUGCUCGAGUGGCGAACGGGUGAGUAACACGUGAGUAACCUGCCCUUGACUUUGGGAUAACUUCAGGAAACUGGGGCUAAUACCGGAUAGGAGCUCCUGCUGCAUGGUGGGGGUUGGAAAGUUUCGGCGGUUGGGGAUGGACUCGCGGCUUAUCAGCUUGUUGGUGGGGUAGUGGCUUACCAAGGCUUUGACGGGUAGCCGGCCUGAGAGGGUGACCGGCAACAGGGGGAGUGAGGUCAAGACCGGAGUCCUCCGGGAGGCAGAAGUGCGGGAGAUGGACGAAUGGGUGGAAGCCUGAGGCAGCUACGGCGUGUGAGGGAGGAAGGCUGUCGGGUUGUAAAAAGCUUGCGCCGGUGACGAAGCGUGAGUGACGGGAAUGGAUAAAGAAGCACCGGCUAGCUACGUG